ACACGUAGGGGGCAAGCGUUGUCCGGAAUUACUGGGCGUAAAGGGUGCGUAGGCGGCAUGAUAAGUCAGAUGUGAAAUACCACGGCUUAACCGUGGGGGUGCAUCUGAAACUGUAAUGCUUGAGUGCAGGAGAGGGGAGUGGAAUUCCUAGUGUAGCGGUGAAAUGCGUAGAUAUUAGGAGGAACACCGGUGGCGAAGGCGGCUCCCUGGACUGUAACUGACGCUGAGGCACGAAAGCGUGGGUAGCGAACAGGAUUAGAUACCCUGGUAGUCCACGCCGUAAACGCUGGAUACUAGGUGUAGGUGCAAAAGCAUCUGUGCCGUAGUUAACGCAAUAAGUAUCCCGCCUGGGGAGUACGGCCGCAAGGCUGAA
rnacentral:rRNA from 1 species